rnacentral:rRNA from 1 species
GCGCCUACGGGGGGCAGCAGUGGGGGAUAUUGCACAAUGGGGGAAACCCUGAUGCAGCGACGCCGCGUGAGUGAAGAAGUAUUUCGGUAUGUAAAGCUCUAUCAGCAGGGAAGAAGAUGACAGUACCUGAGUAAGAAGCCCCGGCUAACUACGUGCCAGCAGCCGCGGUAAUACGUAGGGGGCAAGCGUUAUCCGGAUUUACUGGGUGUAAAGGGAGCGUAGACGGCUGUGCAAGUCUGAAGUGAAAUGCCGGGGCUCAACCCCGGAACUGCUUUGGAAACUGUACAGCUAGAGUGCAGGAGGGG